rnacentral:rRNA from 1 species
UACGUAGGGGGCUAGCGUUGUCCGGAAUCAUUGGGCGUAAAGGGCGCGUAGGCGGUGCGGUAAGUCACCUGUGAAAACUCUGGGCUCAACUCAGAGCCUGCAGGCGAAACUGCCGUGCUGGAGUGUGGGAGAGGUGCGUGGAAUUCCCGGUGUAGCGGAUGAAUGCGUAGAUAUCGGGAGGAACACCUGUGGCGAAAGCGGCGCACUGGACCACAACUGACGCUGAGGCGCGAAAGCUAGGGGAGCAAACAGG